GCUUGGGUAGCUCAGUUGGUAGAGCAUUCGCCUGAAGAGCGAAGGGUCGGCGGUUCGAGCCCGCCCCCAAGCACAA
rnacentral:tRNA from 1 species